rnacentral:lncRNA from 1 species
AUGACUGAUGAGAAUGAACCAACGUAAACAUAACAUUUUGGUCAAAGGGAAGUAACAAUCACCAGCCAUCUGGUAUAUCUCUCCUAAUGGUAUGCAAUUUGAAGUAUGUAAGAUCACCUCUGAUGUAUUCUGGCCAAAAAUCAAUCACAAUUAGAAUUAAAAAAAAAAUCAUCAGAGAUUCUUAAUUAGAACCAUGCGAAAGUAAUCAUAGAAAUCAAAGAACAAAUCUUCCAAAGGAGCAGAUAAUGAUGACUUUCUAAAGAUAAACAUAACUCAAACACAGAAAUCUAACUUCCAGACAGGACUAUAAUAUUUUCUGAGGAAGCAUUUUUUUUGCAGCUAGUAAUAAAAAGUACUAGUACUUAACAUUAAUCAAGUACUUACUACACACUGGGGACUAUUCUUAGAACUUUACAUGUAUUAACUUCUGGAGCUACACAAUCACCCUUUGAAUCAAAUAUUGCUAUUAUUUCUAUACUAUGAAAUGAGCAACUGAGGCCCAAGGUUUAAGUACCUACCUGAGGGGUCUGGGAGUCCUGGGCGGGGCCGGGGCGUGUCCGGAGCCUCGAAUCUGUGCGCGCAGGCGGGAGCUGGCUGCGGAUGCGCCGUUCUGAAUGUGUCUUUGUGGCUGUGUGGCUGGGUGUGGGUGUCUGCAACUGUGCACAUGUAACCGCCUGUCUCCAGGGUGUCUGUCUGGUGGUUUUUGUGUAACCAUGUGUGAUAGAGAGUAUCGGGGUGCAGGAUCCUUGUGACCGGGGGUGAUACUGCGUGUGUCCCCGUUGUAUAUGUGGCCUGUUCGCCCUGUUCCUGGGGUGUGAGUACAGUUGUGACUGUGUGACCACUGCGGGUGUGCGGUUGUGAUUCAUGUCUCCAAGGUGUGUGCGUGGUUUUGGUUGUGUGACACUGUGGCCGUGUGCAAUUGCCUGUGCCUGUGACUGUGUGGUGACGCCGCUUGUGUAUUCCUGUAUCCCUUGGUGUGUGUGUGUUUGUGUUUGUGUGUAUGUGUGUGGUGCUGUGUAUGCGGGAGUGGG